rnacentral:rRNA from 1 species
UACGGAGGGGGCGAGCGUUGUUCGGAAUUACUGGGCGUAAAGCGCGUGUAGGCGGCCCACUAAGUCUGAUGUGAAAGCCCGGGGCUCACCCCCGGAAGUGCAUUGGAAACUGGUGGACUCGAGUCCCGGAGAGGAGAGUGGAAUUCCUGGUGUAGCGGUGAAAUGCGCAGAUAUCAGGAGGAACACCGAUGGCGAAGGCAGGUCUCUGGGCAUUAACUGACGCUGAGGAGCGAAAGCAUGGGGAGCGAACAGG